CCUCAUAAAUUUGUCUUACUGUU
rnacentral:piRNA from 1 species